UACGUAGGGCGCAAGCGUUGUCCGGAAUUAUUGGGCGUAAAGAGCUCGUAGGCGGUCUGUCGCGUCUGCUGUGAAAACUCGGGGCUUAACCCCGGGCCUGCAGUGGGUACGGGCAGACUAGAGUGCGGUAGGGGAGACUGGAAUUCCUGGUGUAGCGGUGGAAUGCGCAGAUAUCAGGAGGAACACCAGUGGCGAAGGCGGCUUCCUGGACCGGAACUGACGCUGAGGCGACGAAAGCGUGGGGAGCAAACAGG
rnacentral:rRNA from 1 species